AUUGAACGCUAGCGGGAUGCUUUACACAUGCAAGUCGAACGAGUGGCGGACGGGUGAGUAAUAUAUCGGAACGUGCCCAGUAGCGGGGGAUAACUACGCGAAAGAGUGGCUAAUACCGCAUAAUAUGGUAGCGGCCGAUAUCGGAUGAGCUAGUUGGUGGGGUAAAGGCUCACCAAGGCAACGAUACGUAGCUGGUUUGAGAGGACGACCAGCCACACUGGGACUGCGCCACGGCCCAGACGCCGACGGGAGGCAGCAGUGGGGAAUUUUGGACAAUGGGGGAAACCCUGAUCCAGCCAUCCCGCGUGUAUGAGAAGGCCUUCGGGUUGUAAAGUACUUUUGGCAGAGAAGCGGUAUCUGCAGAAUAAGCACCGGCUAACUACGUGCCAGCCGCCGCGGUAAUUC
rnacentral:rRNA from 1 species